rnacentral:rRNA from 1 species
CAGUAGCCGCGGGAAAACGUAGGUGGCAAGCGUUGUCCGGAAUUAUUGGGCGUAAAGCGCGCGCAGGCGGUUUCUUAAGUCUGAUGUGAAAGCCCCCGGCUUAACCGGGGAGGGUCAUUGGAAACUGGGAGACUUAGAGUGCAGAAGAGGAGAGUGGAAUUCCAUGUGUAGCGGUGAAAUGCGUAGAUAUAUGGAGGAACACCAGUGGCGAAGGCGACUCUCUGGUCUGUAACUGACGCUGAGGCGCGAAAGCGUGGGGAGCAAACAGGAUUAGAGACCCGAGUAGUCCCUGUCUCUUAUA